rnacentral:rRNA from 1 species
AUUGAACGCUGGCGGCAGGCUUAACACAUGCAAGUCGAACGAGUGGCGGACGGGUGAGUAAUGUCUGGGAAACUGCCUGAUGGAGGGGGAUAACUACUGGAAACGGUAGCUAAUACCGCAUACCCUCGUAUGUGCCCAGCUGGGAUUAGCUAGUAGGUGGGGUAACGGCUCACCUAGGCGACGAUCCCUAGCUGGUCUGAGAGGAUGACCAGCCAACCUGGAACUGGGACACGGUCCAGUCUCCUACGGAGGGCAGCAGUGGGGAUUAUUGCCCAAUGGGCGAAAGCCUGAUGCAGCCAUGCCGGGUGUAUGAAGAAGGCCUUCGGGUUGUAAAGUACUUUCAGCGGGAAGGCGUUACCCGCAGAAGAAGCACCGGCUAACUCCGUGCCAGCCGCCGCGGUAAUUC